GUGAGAGUGUAGGUGAUUGUUAGAGAACAACUUAUACUGAGUGUGACCAACAUGAAAAAUUACUUAGAUGUCUACUCACUCAUCAGUAGUCUUCUCGAUGCUGCAGUGGUGUGACUGGUCCUUUGACUUAUAGUGUGUUGUCUAUUCGCAGCGAGGCUACUUAGUUUGACUAUACGUUUUCUUAGUUCCUAGCCAUUCAGGUCCUCACUAUGUAUGUUGGCUAUUGUAGGUUCAGAUUUGCUAUUUGGAGUAGGAUGCACUUAGAUGGAAUCUAUCGAUUUUGAUAGAAAAAAAGAAGUCCUAUGUGAUU
rnacentral:lncRNA from 1 species